rnacentral:rRNA from 1 species
UACAGAGGGGGGCAAGCGUUGUUCGGAAUUACUGGGCGUAAAGGGCGCGUAGGCGGCCUGCUAAGUCGAACGUGAAAUCCCUGGGCUCAACCCAGGAACUGCGUCCGAUACUGGUUGGCUUGAAUCCGGGAGAGGGACGUGGAAUUCCAGGUGUAGCGGUGAAAUGCGUAGAUAUCUGGAGGAACACCGGUGGCGAAGGCGACGUCCUGGACCGGCAUUGACGCUGAGGCGCGAAAGCCAGGGGAGCAAGCGGG